rnacentral:rRNA from 1 species
UACAGAGGGGGCAAGCGUUAUUCGGAAUUAUUGGGCGUAAAGGGUGCGUAGGCGGGUCUUUAAGUCAGAGGUGAAAUCCUGGAGCUCAACUCCAGAACUGCCUUUGAUACUGAGGAUCUUGAGUACGGGAGAGGUGAGUGGAACUGCGAGUGUAGAGGUGAAAUUCGUAGAUAUUCGCAAGAACACCAGUGGCGAAGGCGGCUCACUGGCCCGUUACUGACGCUGAGGCACGAAAGCGUGGGGAGCAAACAGG